GCCAGGCAUGGUGGCACAUGCCUGUAAUCCCAGCAGCUCGGGAGGCUAAGGUAGGAGGAUCUCGAGUUCAAAGCCAGCCUCAGCAAAAGCAAGGUGUUAAGCAACUCAGUUGUGAGAUCCUGUCUCUA
rnacentral:sRNA from 1 species